rnacentral:rRNA from 1 species
UUUGAUCAUGGCUCAGAUUGAACGCUGGCGGCAGGCUUAACACAUGCAAGUCGAGCGGUAACAUUUCUAGCUUGCUAGAAGAUGACGAGCGGCGGACGGGUGAGUAAUACUUAGGAAUCUACCUAGUAGUGGGGGAUAGCUCGGGGAAACUCGAAUUAAUACCGCAUACGACCUACGGGAGAAAGGGGGCAACUUGUUGCUCUCGCUAUUAGAUGAGCCUAAGUCGGAUUAGCUAGAUGGUGGGGUAAAGGCCUACCAUGGCGACGAUCUGUAGCUGGUCUGAGAGGAUGAUCAGCCACACCGGGACUGAGACACGGCCCGGACUCCUACGGGAGGCAGCAGUGGGGAAUAUUGGACAAUGGGGGAAACCCUGAUCCAGCCAUGCCGCGUGUGUGAAGAAGGCCUUUUGGUUGUAAAGCACUUUAAGCAGUGAAGAAGACUCUUCGGUUAAUACCCGGAGACGAUGACAUUAGCUGCAGAAUAAGCACCGGCUAACUCUGUGCCAGCAGCCGCGGUAAUACAGAGGGUGCAAGCGUUAAUCGGAAUUACUGGGCGUAAAGCGAGCGUAGGUGGCUUGAUAAGUCAGAUGUGAAAUCCCCGGGCUUAACCUGGGAACUGCAUCUGAUACUGUCAGGCUAGAGUAGGUGAGAGGAAGGUAGAAUUCCAGGUGUAGCGGUGAAAUGCGUAGAGAUCUGGAGGAAUACCGAUGGCGAAGGCAGCCUUCUGGCAUCAUACUGACACUGAGGCUCGAAAGCGUGGGUAGCAAACAGGAUUAGAUACCCUGGUAGUCCACGCCGUAAACGAUGUCUACUAGUCGUUGGGUCCCUUGAGGACUUAGUGACGCAGCUAACGCAAUAAGUAGACCGCCUGGGGAGUACGGCCGCAAGGUUAAAACUCAAAUGAAUUGACGGGGGCCCGCACAAGCGGUGGAGCAUGUGGUUUAAUUCGAUGCAACGCGAAGAACCUUACCUGGUCUUGACAUAUCUAGAAUCCUGCAGAGAUGCGGGAGUGCCUUCGGGAAUUAGAAUACAGGUGCUGCAUGGCUGUCGUCAGCUCGUGUCGUGAGAUGUUGGGUUAAGUCCCG